ensembl:lncRNA
CUUGUCAUACCUAUGCAAAAAUACGAAUUUUAUAUAAUUGAUGUCAUUGUCGGGUGCCAAAUAGUAUAUCAUACCAAUGAAAAUAAACAAUAUCGCAGACACAUCAUAAAUACAUACUGACGGUGCGACAGGAUUACGAAAUACUCUCACUAGAGGGAUCGCCAAGUCCAACUAAAUCAUAGAUAGGCCAGCGGGUGUGGUUAGUGACGUUGCUGUCUACGAAGAGAUUUUACGAGCUCGUAUGGUGAAGUCAACUGAGAAAGUGCACCGUAGGCUGUCAGUUCUGUGAGUUCUCAGGCCCAGUCUUCAAAUUCUACCGCCCGCUUGUCGUGCUUUGAGGCAGAAACGUGCAUCUUGUUGCCGGAACGAAGAACGGAAAUAGAUGCCAGUGUUUCUGCUCAGUGUUGUUUUUCUAACUGACCACUGGAACUUUUCUGACUACGUGUGCGGUAAUCUGCAGGAGGAGUAUAUUGCCUCCAAUCAAGUGCCCUCCACACGGUAUGGCAUGAUGUUGCAAAAUGGAGUGAAAGUCUUCCUUCUUCAUGAUCCCUUUUACCCUGUACACAUCUCCCACUUCACCACCACAGCACCCCCAGACCAUCACAUUGCCUCCACCAUGCUUGACAGAUGUCGGCCACAAUCAAAGCCCUGAAACAAACCAGAAGUGGAGAUGGUUGCAGAACAUGCCUGUCAGAGCAUCACCAGGAAAGAUGCCAAGCGUCUAGUAAUGUCUACGGAUGGCAGAAUUCAGGCAGUCAUCAUAUUCAAAGGAUUUAUAAUUCAUAAGUACUAAAUAGGACAACUUCAUCUGAGAAUAUACAUUUUAUUUCAGUGACUUCUGUAUGGAGGACUGUACUUCCUACAUGGUUUACAGAUUAUAGAUGUAAAUACAAAUUAAAGCUGACAGUCUG